rfam:Streptomyces sp. SPB74 genomic scaffold supercont3.1, whole genome shotgun sequence.
AGCGCGUCCGGGUCGACCGCGCGGCUCGCGAGCAGGUAGUCCCGCAUCACGAUGCCGUGCCGGGCCUC